AAAGCGUGCGCAGGCGGUUUUGUAAGACUGUCGUGAAAUCCCCGGGCUCAACCUGGGAAUGGCGAUGGUGACUGCAAGGCUAGAGUUUGGCAGAGGGGGGUAGAAUUCCACGUGUAGCAGUGAAAUGCGUAGAUAUGUGGAGGAACACCGAUGGCGAAGGUAGCCCCCUGGGUCAAAACUGACGCUCAUGCACGAAAGCGUGGGGAGCAAACAGGAUUAGAUACCCUUGU
rnacentral:rRNA from 1 species